rnacentral:rRNA from 1 species
UACGAAGGGUGCUAGCGUUGUUCGGAAUCACUGGGCGUAAAGCGCGCGUAGGCGCCAAUCAAGUCAGGGGUGAAAUGCCGGAGCUUAACUUCGGAACUGCCUUUGAAACUGAUUGGCUGGAAGAUGAGAGGGGAUAGCGGAAUUUCUGGUGUAGAGGUGAAAUUCGUAGAUACCAGAAGGAACACCGGUGGCGAAGGCGGCUAUCUGGCUCAUUCUUGACGCUCUGGCGCGAAAGCGUGGGGAUCAAACAGGG